UUGAACGCUGGCGGCAGGCCUAACACAUGCAAGUCGAACGGUAGCACAGAGAGCUUGCUCUCGGGUGACGAGUGGCGGACGGGUGAGUAAUGUCUGGGAAACUGCCUGAUGGAGGGGGAUAACUACUGGAAACGGUAGCUAAUACCGCAUAACGUCGCAAGACCAAAGAGGGGGACCUUCGGGCCUCUUGCCAUCAGAUGUGCCCAGAUGGGAUUAGCUAGUAGGUGGGGUAAAGGCUCACCUAGGCGACGAUCCCUAGCUGGUCUGAGAGGAUGACCAGCCACACUGGAACUGAGACACGGUCCAGACUCCUACGGGAGGCAGCAGUGGGGAAUAUUGCACAAUGGGCGCAAGCCUGAUGCAGCCAUGCCGCGUGUAUGAAGAAGGCCUUCGGGUUGUAAAGUACUUUCAGCGGGGAGGAAGGUGUUGUGGUUAAUAACCACAGCAAUUGACGUUACCCGCAGAAGAAGCACCGGCUAACUCCGUGCCAGCAGCCGCGGUAAUACGGAGGGUGCAAGCGUUAAUCGGAAUUACUGGGCGUAAAGCGCACGCAGGCGGUCUGUCAAGUCGGAUGUGAAAUCCCCGGGCUCAACCUGGGAACUGCAUCCGAAACUGGCAGGCUUGAGUCUUGUAGAGGGGGGUAGAAUUCCAGGUGUAGCGGUGAAAUGCGUAGAGAUCUGGAGGAAUACCGGUGGCGAAGGCGGCCCCCUGGACAAAGACUGACGCUCAGGUGCGAAAGCUUGGGGAGCAAACAGGAUUAGAUACCCUGGUAGUCCACGCUGUAAACGAUGUCGACUUGGAGGUU
rnacentral:rRNA from 1 species